GUUGGGAAACCACAUCUUAACAAAACUCACCCCUAUCAUCCUUGGCGAAACUCUUGCAACAAAUAAACAAAGAAAUCGGGAUGUCAAUCCCCUCCAUAUCCGCGUUCAUUUCCAAAUAUUCAAACCCCAUUACGCUCCAAUUACUCUCUCACGAAACCCUCUGCUCUGACUCUAUUAUAUGCCUGGUCUUGAAGUCGUUGUGCGAAGAAGUUUUGGCGGAGACUCACUCAGUCGAUCGAGGUUUGAAGAAGAUUAAGCACAAUGUGGAUGUUUAUGUUAAUGAUGAUGGUCCUUAAAAGAGCUAGGCCUGAAGAAGAUUCCAGAGCACCUACAAAUCCAUUGGUGGCCGAGGGUCUCAAAAAGUUUUAAAUGUAUUCUUAUACCUUCUAUCAUGUUAGGAUAAUAUUUGUAAACAUAAAGAGGCGGCCAUGGCUAGAUUGAAUAACGAAGGAACCAUCGUUAUCACUGCUAUGGAACACGACGUGGAGAGAGAAGCCAUCAAAAGUGUAUGUGGCAGGGCUAAAACAAUACAAUCAGCAUGGGAGGUAGGUGUUGGUCCUGUGUUAAGGAAAAAAUAUAACUGGAUGUAAUCGGCAGUUGAAUCAUCUCAACGAGAUUCAACUGAGAACAAAGAUUUGAGAAAUCAGGUUACUGAACUCAAUGAGGAAUUGAAACAGAGUAACGAAAAAUUCAAAAGAGUGACAGAGUUCUUGAGCCAGAAAUAUCCAGAUUUCGAGAGCACAAUAUCUACAAAUGAUGCUGGUGAAGAUGAUGGUUUGAAUGGACUACACAAUGAAAGUGACAACACUAUCUAGGCAGUUAGUUAAGACGUUUAUUACUUUUUUUUCUCUAAUACUCUUCUAAAUUUUAGAAUUGAUGAACUGGUGUUAUUUUCAUUUUCAUUGGAUAUUGUUAUGACAUUAAUGCUUGAGUUUAUUGUGAUUUUAAGAAA